AGAUGUUUGACGCAUUCAACGUGGUCACCUUGUGCCGCCAUGUGGAGAGGAGACAGCCCAUUCUAAAAGUUAAAGAGAGGUCAUUUAGUUUGAUGGAGAUAAAAGGAGUUGGUGGAGACGCAAACAGAGUGAAGUCGACUGCUGCCCCUCGGUUCAGCAGGAGGGUGGCCACAUUGACGUUGCCAUAGUGGGCAGCGAUAUGAAGGGGGGUGAAUCCACUCUGGAAGACAGAGAGGAAAGAGACACACAAAAAGGAGGAAAGAGGUCAGACGUUCAAUUCAUAUCCUUGAACUUUGACCCACGCCUCUUGACUUUUUUGCCUUCCCAGCAUGCAGCAUUCACGUCAAGCAUCACACAUGAACGAAAAGUAAACUAAAAACAAGG